UGCGAGUACAUGGGUGACAAACCUACGUGCGCAAUGAAAGUAACAGUGGUUGGAUCCGGUAAAACGGUGCACAAUCCGCCGGCCACAAUCCUUCGGGAGAAAGGUCUGAGUGUGAGCACACAUGUUGGGACCCGAAAGAUGGUGAACUAUGCCUGAAUAGGGUGAAGCCAGGGGAAACUCUGGUGGAGGCUCGUAGCGAUUCUGACGUGCAAAUCGAUCGUCAAAUUUGGGUAUAGGGGCGAAAGACUAAUCGAACUAUCUAGUAGCUGGUUCCCUCCGAAAUUUCCCUUAGGAUAGCUGCAAUCGACUCUCAGUUUUAUCAGGUAAAGCGAAUGAUUAGAGGCCUCAG
rnacentral:rRNA from 14 species